GGUGAACGCUGGCGGCGUGCCUAAUGCAUGCAAGUCGAGCGAACAGACGAGGAGCUUGCUCCUCUGACGUUAGCGGCGGACGGGUGAGUAACACGUGGAUAACCUACCUAUAAGACUGGGAUAACUUCGGGAAACCGGAGCUAAUACCGGAUAAUAUAUUGAACCGCAUGGUUCAAUAGUGAAAGACGGUUUUGCUGUCACUUAUAGAUGGAUCCGCGCCGCAUUAGCUAGUUGGUAAGGUAACGGCUUACCAAGGCAACGAUGCGUAGCCGACCUGAGAGGGUGAUCGGCCACACUGGAACUGAGACACGGUCCAGACUCCUACGGGAGGCAGCAGUAGGGAAUCUUCCGCAAUGGGCGAAAGCCUGACGGAGCAACGCCGCGUGAGUGAUGAAGGUCUUCGGAUCGUAAAACUCUGUUAUUAGGGAAGAACAAAUGUGUAAGUAACUAUGCACGUCUUGACGGUACCUAAUCAGAAAGCCACGGCUAACUACGUG
rnacentral:rRNA from 1 species